GACGAACGCUGGCGGCGUGCCUAAUACAUGCAAGUUGAGCGAUGAAGAUUGGUGCUUGCCCCAAUUUGAAGAGCAGCGAACGGGUGAGUAACGCGUGGGGAAUCUGCCUUUGAGCGGGGGACAACAUUUGGAAACGAAUGCUAAUACCGCAUAAUAACUUUAAACAUAAGUUUUAAGUUUGAAAGAUGCAAUUGCAUCACUCAAAGAUGAUCCCGCGUUGUAUUAGCUAGUUGGUGAGGUAAAGGCUCACCAAGGCGAUGAUACAUAGCCGACCUGAGAGGGUGAUCAGCCACAUUGGGACUGAGACACGGCCCAAACUCCUACGGGAGGCAGCAGUAGGGAAUCUUCGGCAAUGGACGAAAGUCUGACCGAGCAACGCCGCGUGAGUGAAGAAGGUUUUCGGAUCGUAAAACUCUGUUGGUAGAGAAGAACGUUGGUGAGAGUGGAAAGCUCAUCAAGUGACGGUAACUACCCAGAAAGGGACGGCUAACUACGUG
rnacentral:rRNA from 1 species